GUUUAAUUGCUCGGCUCUAUAGAGAUAGCCUCAGUUUGCCGGCGCCGGCGCCCUCACCGGCGAUUAAUGUUCGGAAUUUUACUUUUGGGUGUGCCCACACGACGCUCGGCGAGCCGGUUGGGGUUGCCGGAUUCGGCCGGGGGACGUUGUCGAUGCCGAGUCAACUCGCCACUUUCUCACCCCAACUUGGGAACCGGUUUUCUUAUUGUUUGGUUUCUCACUCGUUUGCAACAGACCGAGUUCGCCGCCCGAGUCCGUUGAUUCUCGGCCGGUACUACGGCCGCGAGACGGAGUUCAUUUACACUUCAUUGCUUGAGAAUCCGAAGCAUCCUUAUUUUUACUCGGUUGGGUUGGCCGGGAUUUCAGUCGGG
rnacentral:misc_RNA from 1 species